rnacentral:rRNA from 1 species
AUUGAACGCUGGCGGCGUGCCUAACACAUGCAAGUCGAGCGGCAGCGCGGGAGCAAUCCUGGCGGCGAGCGGCGGACGGGUGAGUAAUGCUUGGGAAUCUGCCUGUUAGUGGGGGACAACCCGGGGAAACGUCGGGCUAAUACCGCAUACGCACUACGGUGGAAAGCCGGGGACCGCAAGGCCUGGCGCUAACAGAUGAGCCCAAGUCGGAUUAGUUAGUUGG